GAUGAACGCUAGCGGCAGGCUUAAUACAUGCAAGUCGAGGGGCAACAGGGGUAGCAAUACCUGCUGGCGACCGGCAAACGGGUGCGGAACACGUACAGAACCUUCCUUUAAGUUGGAGAUAGCCCGGAGAAAUCCGGAUUAAUACCUAAUAGUAUUAUGGUGUGGCAUCACAUUAUAAUUAAAGCCUUGGCGCUUAGAGAUGGCUGUGCGUAUGAUUAGGUAGUUGGNGCGGGUAACGGCCCACCAAGCCUUCGAUCAUUAACUGGUGUGAGAGCACGACCAGUCACACGGGCACUGAGACACGGGCCCGACUCC
rnacentral:rRNA from 1 species